UGCUAAGAGAAAAGACAAAAUCAGACACGUAAAUUUGGGUAUAUGGAGCAAACCAAACCUGUGAGUCUUAGAAGGCAGCAGUUCAAAUCACAGAAAUACAGGGUCGAGGGUUUUGCUUCUCAAGGCUGCAGUCUUAACAGCGACCCUGCGCAACUACCCUGUUAGGAUCCAUAAAUGUUCACUGCACUUAGUUCACGUUCACAUGCACACUGAAUGUGUGCAGAGUACACAUUCAGUGUGGCAGAGGGUCGGUGAGUGCCUGCUGCCAUUACUCUGUUUUGUUGUCUACAAAAUGAGGUUGUUGUAAAGAUGAAAUAACACAUGUAAAGAGCUUAGAAUUGUGCCUAGCACGUAAGUGCUAGUUAUAGCUAUUAUUAUUUCAAAGUGAAUUAAAAAAACUGAUCAAAGACCGACUCGCUGUUUCCCCCAAAGACACCAUUCCCUAGUCCCUGGCUUGGUCUGCUAAGGAGCCAAAGCCGCUGGCUUCCUCUACACAUGGGGCCAGACUAACAGGGUAACUUAUUACCACAAGUUCACACUCAAACAAGCGUGGUGUUUGGUGUGUAUAAUAACAGUAAGUAUGCUGGCAUACUUAUUUCAUCCAGUUAUUUGAAGAAAUGAAGCAACUGCAAAACCAUAACCUCCGUGUGACUGCGUCUUGACUACAGUGCAGUGUGACAGUACGUUUGAAAUACAGAUACAAAAGCCUGGACCCAGGGAUGAGCCAAAUGAAACGUUCACUUCAUACCCACUCUGUUUCUCUUCUGCAUACCACAGGUUUUGGUGAAAUGUUUGAAAUAAAGUGCUCUGAAGAGGAAGGAAAAUUGGCUGCCUGCCUCAAAACCUAGUGUCUCCCCCCUCUAAAUCUAGUGUCCCCUACUGCAGGGUUACCCGUUUUUAUGGGGAAUUUGUCCCAAGCACCAGGCACCAGCCAAGAUUGACUCUCCUCGCUUCAUUCCCAAACCCCAGGAAGAAGUGAACUGCAGUCCAUGUGCAAAAAGUUAUUCCUUGAGGUCUGGUUAGGUCCAAAAAGUCUUAAUGAAAAUAAUAUAAUUAAUAAGGUCGGAGUUCAAAUUAUGUCAAGUAUUAAUCCUCACUGGCAGUUAUAGGCCAAUUCCUUCUGUUAAGAUGGCUGUAAGUCUGAAUUUACUGCUUUCCCUUUUAUUACUUGGCUGCUCUGUAAUACUGUCAGAUACUUAAAAAGGUUCUAAAGAGUAGCUCACCUGAGGAAAUGGCUCCGCUGAUGCGAGCAGCACAUUUUCCGGCUUUAAAUCACAGUGCACAAUAUUUUUAAAAUGUAGAUUCCUCAAGGCAACUAGGAUCUGUUAUUGAAGAAAACAGAAUUUUUUCAGUGCUUCGAAAAAAUCAUAAACCCCCACCUGAGCUCUUGAAUGGUAUGAUAAUUUGAAAAGUCUACUACAGUUUGUCAAGUUUUAACUGAAGUGUUACUCUGUUCUUCAAAGUUAAAAAUUCCCAAAAUAACCCAAUAUGUAAAAGCACUGCCAUUUCUCUGUUUUCAAGUACUGUUUAAAAAAAAAAAAAAAAAAGUUAAAGUACCUGUGUGACCAUGAACUUAGUAAUUCGUUCUGGAAGUCGACUUUUCUCACUGGAUAGAAUCAUUUCCAACAUAUCUCCGUGUAGUUUUUCCAUUACUACAAAAACUCGUUCUGGAGUUUCAAACAUACAUUCCAGGUUUACAAUCCCAGGAUGGUGCAAAUUCUGGAGAGUUGCAGGAUACGGAUAUGACCAACAUAAGUAGAAAAAUAAUUUUACUAUGCAAACAUCUAACAAUGUACUGCGACUGUCUGGAAUACAUGGCAUAGAAAGAAAAAAAUAAGCUGUAAAAGCAAACGAAUGGGAUCAUGGAUGGGAUUUUCCAAGAUCUGUAGUGCAAUGGAUGCCCUGAAGGGAAAGGAGGUCUUUCCAGUUAAUUACAUAAGUGUCCUUGUCCAUUACUACUACAUUUUUCUUCCUCAUCUUUUUAGUCUUCUGACGCUGUGGUAAUUUUAUGCUGUCCAUGAACAGACACCAACUGCCAAUCAAAUUUUAGCUAACUACACAGAGCUUUGGCUCUUUGGGGCUGUAUCUGUGGAGGUCUGUGCUCAAGAGAUGGUUCUGUUUUUAGGGUAGUUAUUUAUCUAAGUCUGCAUUCUCAAUCAUAUCUGCAUUUGGUUUUCCUGCUUUCAGGCUCAAGAUCUCUACCUCCAUCUUCACGCUUCUUAAGCACCACUACGUUACCAGGGUUGCAAAAAUAUAAACCUGAAUGUGACACUGUUUCUGCUAAUAAAAAAGCCAUCUAUCUUACUGGUUAAAAAACAAAAAACAAAAACCUUCCUCAAAAGCAAAUUAUCUUCAGUCAGCUAUGCUCAAAAAUAUUCCAUGGUUUUCUAGUCCUGGAUAUAAAUCUAUUCCUCUGCUUAGACUUUCAUAUCUUCAUUAAAGGUGAUUAAACUUUUUAUUAUUAGAAGUA